rnacentral:rRNA from 1 species
UAUAUGCUUCUGUCAAAGAUUUUGCUGAUCCUGCCAGUAUUAUAUGCUGAUGUUAAAGAUUAAGCCAUGCAUGCGUAAGUAUAAAGUCCAAGAAGGAUGAAACUGCGAACGGCUCAUUAGAACAGUUAUAGUUUCUUCGAUUAGUAAGUACAAGGAUAGCUUUGUGAAUGAUAAAGAUAAUACUUGAGACGAUCUUGGACGUAGAGAUACAUUCAGGCCUUUGCAUCAUUUAAUGGUGUGAAGAGAAAGGAUAUCCAAAGUGAAAGUGGGUAUCAUGACAAUUGUAGAAUAGCAAUAUGUGACAAGUAAUCGAUGAGAAUAUCUGAUCUAUCAACUAGUUGGUAGUAUCGAGGACUACCAAGGUUAUAACGGAUAACGAGGAAUUAGGGUUUGACAUCGGAGAGGGAGCUUUCAAGAUGGCUACCACUUCCAAGGAAGGCAGCAGGCGCGUAAAUUACCCAAUUUCAACAGAUAGAAGAGGUAGUGACGACAAAUAACUCACGACAUGCGUAAGCAUGUCUUGAAGGAAUGAGUAAGAAGCAAAGAGUCUAC